GACAGAGGUGCCAAGCGUUAGGCGGAAUCACUGGGCUUAAAGCGUGUGUAGGCGGACUGUUAAGUACCUUGUGAAAUCCCACGGCUCAACCGUGGAACUGCUCGGUAUACUGGCGGUCUUGAGCUGCUUAGGGGUCGUCGGAACAAGCGGUGGAGCGGUGAAAUGCGUAGAUAUUCGGAAGAACACCAGUGGCGAAGGCGACUCACUGGACACGUAUUGACGCUGAGGUGCGAAAGCGUGGGGAGCAAACAGG
rnacentral:rRNA from 1 species